rnacentral:misc_RNA from 1 species
AACGGUCUAUACCUGCGGUACCUGCGGAGGGAUCAUUACAGGACUCGCAAGACUCCUAUAACCCUGUGAACCUACUGUAAAUACGUUGCUUCGGCGGGUACGCCCCUGGGAUUCGUCCUGGGACAGCCCGCCGGCAGCCUACAAAUUCUGUUUCUUUGCGUUGGCAUCUCGAGUAAAUCAAAUAAGUUAAAACUUUCAGCAACGGAUCUCU